UACGUAGGGUGCGAGCGUUGUCCGGAAUUAUUGGGCGUAAAGGGCGCGUAGGCGGCUUGGCAAGUGGAUGGUGAAAUCCCUCGGCUUAACCGAGGAACUGCCGUCCAAACUGCUUCGCUUGAGACCGGGAGAGGUGAGUGGAAUUCCCAGUGUAGCGGUGAAAUGCGUAGAUAUCAGGAGGAACACCGGUGGCGAAGGCGGGUCUCUGGGCAACAACUGACGCUGAGGAGCGAAAGCGUGGGGAGCGAACAGG
rnacentral:rRNA from 1 species